rnacentral:tRNA from 1 species
GGAUGUGGCUCAAGUGGUAGGGCGCUCACCUGGCAUGCGCGGGGCGCUGGGUUCGAUCCUCAGAACCA